rnacentral:rRNA from 1 species
UACGAAGGGGGGCUAGCGUUGCUCGGAAUUACUGGGCGUAAAGGGCGCGUAGGCGGCCAGAUUAGUCAGGCGUGAAAGCCCUGGGCUCAACCUGGGGGACUGCGCUUGAUACGGUUUGGCUUGAGGACGGAAGAGGCUCGCGGAAUUCCCAGUGUAGAGGUGAAAUUCGUAGAUAUUGGGAAGAACACCGGUGGCGAAGGCGGCGAGCUGGUCCGUACCUGACGCUGAGGCGCGACAGCGUGGGGGAGCAAACAGG